CGUCAAAUCAGCACGGCCCUUACAUCCGGGGCGACACACGUGUUACAAUGGGGAGGACAAAGGGUUGCUACCUGGUGACAGGAUGCUAAUCUCAAAACCUUUUCUCAGUUCGGAUCGGAGUCUGCAACUCGACUCCGUGAAGCUGGAUUCGCUAGUAAUCGCGCAUCAGCCAUGGCGCGGUGAAUACGUUCCCGGGCCUU
rnacentral:rRNA from 1 species